GACUCUCGGCAACGGAUAUCUCGGCUCUCGCAUCGAUGAAGAACGUAGCGAAAUGCGAUACUUGGUGUGAAUUGCAGAAUCCCGUGAACCAUAGUGGUAUCAAGAGCCGAAGGUUAAUCGUAGUAUGCUCUGUGGUUGCAGUUUAAACUGAUCUUC
rnacentral:rRNA from 1 species